CUGCCCGCCUCGCUCCGCCCCGCGCCGCUCCGCGCCCUGCGCUGCUGCCCGCCCCGCGCCUCGCCGCUGGUCGCCCCGCCUCGCGCCGCUGCCGCCCUGCGCCGCUGCCCGUCCCACGCCGCGCUGCUGCUCGCCCCGCCCCUCCCUGGCGCCGUGUCCUCUGCUGCCAGCGCCGGAUUCCUCCGCCGCCACCGGUCCUCCUCCUCCGCGGCCACCGGUCCUCUUCCUCCGCUGCCUGCGUCCGUCGGAUUCCUCCAUAGUAUUUCACUCCACCAUUGCUUCUUGAGGAAGAAAAAAAGAAGUCAAGGUGAUCGAAAAGAAAAGCUAGUAACAAAACAAAAAAUUCUAUUGAAGAGCUUCCAUCUUCAGUGUGCAGUCUUGUUCAUCUAAAGUCACUCUGUUUGGAUAACAACAAAGUGAAGCAGGUUUAACUCUGAUAUGGACUUCAUAUUCAUAUAAUGUUGUGGCUAUUCUAUGAAGUUGAUCUGUUAAUGUUUAACUUAAUUGGUUGUUUGCAUGCCGUUUGUGGACAUAUUGUAUUGCGUGUUAGAAUGCUAUUUGCAGUUAACUUGUGAUUUUGCAUUGGCAUCUUCUAUAAAUCCACAUGGCGAUGCCUUGACAGCUGGUAGCUUAUACAUAAUCAAAGAUGAAGUGAAGUCCUAAUUAAAGUUUAUGAUUCAUAUGAAUUCUAUUGUUAUAAUGCUCUAGAAAAGUGUCGAUUCCAUGAAAGUAUGAGUUGUAGGGAGAGAAUUCAUUAGAGAUCAAAUUUCUGGAAGCGAAUAAGAAUAACAAUUGAAGACUGGGAAAUUGUACUAGGAAAUCUUAAUUUUUCGCUUUCCUGGAUCAUACCAGCUCCUUUUGCAACUCUUAGUCUUUUCUAUCAAGUCUAUUGUAAAGUAUUUGUUCAUGUUGUAAAUAUUUCUUUGACCUUCAGGUGUUGGGUUUCCCCUUUGCUGGUAUCAUAUGUUUUUAAGAAGUUGAAAUAGGUACUCUAUCGCACUUUUUAGGAUUACAGGAUGCAUUAGUGGAGAUAGCACGUCAAAAGGAGGAGAUGAGGCAGAAAGAUGAGCAGACCGAUGCUCGAUUUCAGGCUCAGCAGCGUAUGUUCGAGGAGAUAUUGGCUAGGCUUCCACCUGGACCCACUGGACCCACUCCACCCACUGGACCAUCAUCUUGAUUAUGUUGUGUUUUGGUAUUUUGAAUACUUGAAUAUUUCUAUUAUAUAUUUGUGAACAUUUGAAUAUUUUGUUAAGUUAUGACUAUUCGAAUGCUAAUUUAAAUUUCA